GACGGAGGAUGCAAGCGUUAUCCGGAAUUAUUGGGCGUAAAGCGUCCGUAGAUGGUUUUGUCAGUCUGCUGUCAAAGCACAGGGCUUAACCCUGUAAAGGCAGUGGAAACUACAAGACUAGAGUGCAGUAGGGGCAGAGGGAAUUCCCAGUGUAGCGGUGAAAUGUGUAGAGAUUGGGAAGAACAUCCGUGGCGAAAGCGCUCUGCUGGACUGCAACUGACAUUGAGGGACGAAAGCUAGGGGAGCGAAUGGG
rnacentral:rRNA from 1 species